UGCCCUCCUGGGAGGGGAGUGGGCUGGCACAGUCUGGAGGGAAGGCUUUGAGGUGCUUGUGCUUUUCUGAAAGCAGGGAUUUUUUUUUUUUUUUUUUUCAACCUGAAUGUUUUUGUAGUGGGGGCUGUCAGCCAGAAGACUUUUGUCUUAGUGAGCAGCAUCACCCUGUGCUGAAAUGUUGCCUGGUUGUCUGUGGUUUUAUCGUCACGCAUCAUGACCUUCACCGGUGAGCUUGUCAGCCCAAGAUUAACAGGAAGGAAUCGGCUCUGCCGUCACACUGGAGAGCUACGAAAGAGGUGAAGAGGAUCAGAAUUGGGCCUUAAGGUCUAAAGCUCUUCAAAGCUCGUGGUGGUUCUGCUGAAGUUCUGCCUGUUCAAAGUCUGUCUGUUGUGGCUCCCUGAGUGCCUGCCCUCUCCAGGCCUGAGGGAAGGCUGCAUGGGGCUGCCCCAUGCCAAGACCUCAGCUCCUCUCGCUGCUUUUGAAAAGAGAUACCUUGAAGUCAAAGAUGACUCUGACUGCGACCCUCUUGAAAACCGUGUUGUAUUUGGGCCUGAUUCAGAACUUGCUGCUCUGUGAAUGAGGAGUUACAGCACUGGCAUCGAGGGUUUCACACCAGGACAGAGCACCACGAAGUGAG